rnacentral:rRNA from 1 species
CUAACUCCGUGCCAGCAGCCGCGGUAAUACGGAGGGUGCGAGCGUUAAUCGGAAUUACUGGGCUAAAGCGCAUGCAGGCGGCCUGUUAAGUCAGAUGUGAAAGCCCGGGGCUUAACCUCGGAAUUUGCAUUUGAAACUGGCAGGCUAGAGUCUUGUAGAGGGGGUAGAAUUUCAGGUGUAGCGGUGAAAUGCGUAGAGAUCUGAAGGAAUACCAGUGGCGAAGGCGGCCCCCUGGACAAAGACUGACGCUCAGAUGCGAAAGCGUGGGGAGCAAACAGGAUUAGAUACCCUGGUGG